UCAGAGGCCAGACACACAGGCACACUAGAUAGCGGCCUCCUCUGGCUUGUUGAUGCUGCUUAAGCUGUAACAGCCUCUCGUGGAAGACUGAGCGAAGCAUUUAACAGUGAUGGCUUUGGGAUUUCAGUUGCAAGUGGUCAUGCUAUAUUAUCUUGCAAAAUAUGGAAUAAUCGCCCAUGAUAUACUGAGCAUGUAUAAAAUUGGACCUCAGGUUUGCAUCGUUUUGGUUUGAAUGUGAAGAACUGGGUAUUUUACUCUUUUCUCUUUAGGCAUUCAUUAUGUUAUUUGCAAAUUAUUUCCAAGGGAAAAUUAGGCUUCUAAGGUAUAAAGAGCUGAUUUCAUUGAAUCAGAAGAACAUGGUUUGGGAUCAUCAGAGAAAGUGAGUUGCUCUCACACUUCUUUAACGAUUUUGAAAUCUAAGAUGAAUUUUUUAAAAACAGGCAAAGAAGAGACAUGUUCCAUAGCAGUACAAACUGUGAUAAAAUUGCUUAGACUUUCUGAGAUGAGUUCUUUUAAGUAAAGUGGACAUCCAGUGGGGAGCAGGGUAGGAGCUGCAUUGUGUACGGAUCAGGAAACACAGGGCACAUGACUUGGUUACUUCCAGAGACUCUGAUUUGAUCUAGAGCCCCAGUUUAUUUUCAAAAGUACCCAUUAUUAUUCAUCAUAUCUAGCCCCAUAUUCAGAACGAAUUGACUAUAGGAAUCUAUAUGUAUAUUUGUGAUGAAUAAGUGACAAAACGAAGUCACUUAACGAGAAUUUGGCAGUUGCUGAGUCUCACAUUUGUAAAGUCUGCUUUAGUCUGUAGUUUCUGCAUGAAAUGUCCAUUGAGUUGCAAUUCUUUUUUUCUUUUUUUUUGCGGUACGCGGGCCUCUCACUGUUGUGGCCUCUCCCGUUGCGGAGCACAGGCUCCGGACGCGCAGGCUCAGCGGCCAUGGCUCACGGGCCCAGCCGCUCUGCGGCAUGUGGGAUCCUCCCAGACCGGGGCACGAACCCGUGUCCCCUGCAUCGGCAGGCGGACUCUCAACCACUGCGCCACCAGGGAAGCCCGAGUUGCAAUUCUUGACUGUUUCCAUCCUUUCACCACCAAGAGUUCCCUUUUGUUUUUCUCUCUAUGGACCCCAGAUUUUGUCAAGAAAAAAAUUAAGCAGUGAUCUUUUUUUAUUAGGCAAAGAUAUAACUAUGUGUUUUAAAAGUAGUAACCAUCAAUUAUAAAUGGUUUGUCAGCCUUUGAAAAACAUUGCUUAUAAUUUAAGGAUCCUCUUUACUGUCUUCAUGAACUGCUCUAGGACUGCAGGCUGUAUCAUAUGCUUAUUAUAACAUUUUAUUACAAUGAAAGUCAAGGUAGAAUAAAGAUUUCUGCUCUACAGUUUAAAGAGGAAGAAAAUUCCCCCUUAAUGAUUGUUCAUUUAUUCUUUUUCAUUAACUCAGCAUUUAUUGAUUUGCCUAAGCCUUGUCUUUAUAGAGAAAUCCAAAGAAAUAAAACCAUUUCCUCAUCCUCUAGAUCUGUGCUGUCCAAUACAGUACCCACUAGCCACAUGUGGCCAUUUAAAUUGAAACUAAAUUAAAUUUAAAAUGUAGUUUUUCAUUUCACUAGCCACAUUUCAAGUGCUAAAGAGCCACACGUGGCUAGAGACUACUCAUUGGACAGCAUGGAAUAGAGCAUUUCCGUUAUGGCCAGAAAUUCUUCUGGAUAGCACUGCUCUAACUACAAGGUGAAAUUUUAAUUGGGAGAAUAAGAUAUAGUAUAUAAAGUUAUUGGGGAAAUCUUAGUACACUACAGAUCAAACCUCAUUAGAAUGUGUACUUCUUAAGAACAGGGUAAUCUCUAAGAGUUCGGGCUCUGGCUUCAGACUGUGGCUCCAUCACAUGCUGACCUUGGGUAAAUUACUUAACCUCUGUAUCUGUAAGAGGGGGAUGAUAAUAGUACCAAAUUUCAGGGUGGAUAUAGGGAUUAAAUGAGAUAAUCUGUGAAUGACGCUUAGGCUAAAGUCUAGAACGUGACCUUCAAGAAAAGUUAGGUAUUUUUAUAGCAAUAUACAUUAUUAUAAUAAAGGUUUUCUUUUUAAAAAAUUGUAUCCUUGGCACCCCUCACUGUACUUAGCUAAUAGAAAAUGCUUGGUAAAUGCUGAGUUGAUGAAAAAUUGUAAUGCUACACUGAUUUUAUGGAUAUGAGGGCCUCUAUUAAAAAUGAAAACUGAUCUUUCUAUCUCUGUUGAAGGGUAGAGGCCAUUUUAGUGGAAUUUAGGCAGAAUUGUCAUCUCACUUUUUCUGGGGUAAAGAAAGCUGUAUGAUGAGACUUUGGGGGUAGACAGAAGCACAAAGGCCUUCAGCUCUUAAAGGAAGAAAAGAGGGUCACUUGCCCUCCUUUUUUUUGCUCUUCAGGGCAGGAAUUGGAUAGUGGGAGACAACUGGAUCCCUGAGUUCAGGCAUCAGGUGUUCACCCAAGGGACUUCCUGGAGGAGCACUGGUAACCUCUCAUGAAACUGGAGUUCCAGAAACACUGGCAAAUACUGCUGCAACACCUUGUCAAAAUGAAAGCUUCCUUAUUCUUCUACCACCACCACGAUAAGCUACAGCGGCGGUCUCCAAACUUUUUGGCACCAGGGACCGGUUUUACAGAAGACAAUUUUUCCACGGACCGGGUGGGAGUGGGGGAAGAGAUGGUUCAGUGGUAAUGUGAGCGAUGGGGGACCAUGGGGAGCCGCCGAUGAAGCUCCACUGUCUGCAGCUCACCUCCUGCUGUGCGGCCCGUUUCCUAACGGGGGGGUUGGGGACCCCCGAGCUACAGGACUGCUGUAUCACUCCUACAAAGGUACCACACCUACCCUUUUACAGUCACCUCCAUCCUCCUCCCCACCCCAUCUAAUUCCUGUCAAUCACUAAUAUGUUCUCAUCUCUAUCAUUUCAAAAAUUCUAGAUAAAUGGAAUCAUCCAGUGUAUAACCUUUUGGAUUGGCUUUUUUUUUUUUAAUUCAGCAUAAUUCCCUUGGGAUCUAUCCAAGUUGUUAUAUGUAUCAAUAGUUUGUUCUUUUUUUUGAGAAAUAUUCCAUGGUAUGUGUGUCCCACAGUUUAACCAUUCACCCACUGAAGGAUGUUUCCGUUGUUUCCAGUUUAGGCUAUUAUGAAUAAAGCUACUAUAAACA